rnacentral:rRNA from 1 species
GACAGAGGCCCCAAGCGUUAGGCGGAAUCACUGGGCUUAAAGCGUGUGUAGGCGGAUCGUUAAGUGUCUUGUGAAAUCCCACGGCUCACCCGUGGAACUGCUGGGCAUACUGGCGAUCUUGGGCCAACUAGGGGCAGCCGGAACAAGCGGUGGAGCGGUGAAAUGCGUAGAUAUCGCUUGGAACGCCGAAGGUGAAAACAGGCUGCUGGGGUUGUGCCGACGCUGAGACACGAAAGCCAGGGGAGCAAAUGGG